rnacentral:lncRNA from 1 species
CUGCAUUAACAAUUUGCAACCAAACCACAGGGACAGUACUCUUGAUUCAAGAGAGAAGGAUUCUGGCCAGUGGUAGAGUCACUGGUCCAUCAUGAGUUACUUAUAAUUUUAGUUCAGGAAGAACCAGAGAAACAACGACAACAACAACAACAACAACAACAACAACAACAACAAAAGGAUAUUCAGAAAAGCAAGGAUAAUGCAGAUGAAGUCCUGAUUCUCUAACGUAGCUAUUAAGACCUGAAUUUCAUCCUGGCAUCGUGCUUGUGUGUUUCAAACAAAGAAUAUUUAAGCCAAGUAUUCUCUCAAUACAAACAACUUACAAAAAGCUUAUCUUGGAAGCCAGAACAUAGAUGGUAAUACUGUGUUGUCUAUAAGAAGUGUUUUAACACCUGUUGAAAUCUGCUCCAUCAAUGAAGUGUAGCAGAUUUCUGACAAAAGCAAAUGGUGUGCAUAUACAUUUCUAUGUGAAUUAGAGACAUAUUUUCUCA